GACGAACGCUGGCGGCGUGCUUAACACAUGCAAGUCGAACGGUGAUGCUCCAGCUUGCUGGAGUGGAUCAGUGGCGAACGGGUGAGUAACACGUGAGCAACCUGCCCCAGACUCUGGAAUAAGCGCUGGAAACGGCGCCUAAUACUGGAUACGAAACUGGCCCGCAGGGGCAGGGUUUGGAAAGUUGUUCGGUUUGGGAUGGGCUCGCGGCCUAUCAGCUUGUUGGUUAGGUAAUGGCUGACCAAGGCGACGACGGGUAGCCGGCCGGGGAGGGCGACCGGCCACACUGGGACUGAGACACGGCCCAGACUCCUACGGGAGGCAGCAGUGGGGAAUAUUGCACAAUGGGCGCGAGCCUGAUGCAGCGACGCCGCGUGAGGGAUGACGGCCUUCGGGUUGUAAACCUCUUUCAGCAGGGAAGAAGCGAAAGUGACGGUACCUGCAGAAGAAGCACCGGCUAACUACGUG
rnacentral:rRNA from 1 species